GCGAUCAUACCAGCACUAAUGCACCGGAUCCCAUCAGAACUCUGAAGUUAAGCGUGCUUGGGGGAGAGUAGUACUAGGAUGGGUGACCCCCUGGGAAGUCCUCGUAUUGCACCCC
rnacentral:rRNA from 1 species